rnacentral:rRNA from 1 species
GUGGCGAACGGGUGAGUAACACGUGAGCAAUCUGCCCUUGACUCUGGGAUAACUGCGGGAAACUGUAGCUAAUACCGGAUACUUUCCUCGCUGGGCAUCCAGCGGGGAAGAAAGAAUUUCGGUCAAGGAUGAGCUCGCGGCCUAUCAGCUAGUUGGUGAGGUAAUGGCUCACCAAGGCGACGACGGGUAGCCGGCCUGAGAGGGUGACCGGCCACACUGGAACUGAGACACGGUCCAGACUCCUACGGGAGGCAGCAGUGGGGAAUAUUGCACAAUGGGCGAAAGCCUGAUGCAGCAACGCCGCGUGAGGGAUGAAGGCCCUCGGGUUGUAAACCUCUUUUAGCAGGGAAGAAGCGAAAGUGACGGUACCUGCAGAAAAAGCACCGGCUAACUACGUGCCAGCAGCCGCGGUAAUACGUAGGGUGCAAGCGUUGUCCGGAAUUAUUGGGCGUAAAGAGCUCGUAGGCGGUUUGUCACGUCUGCUGUGAAAAUCCGAGGCUCAACCUCGGACUUGCAGUGGGUACGGGCAGGCUAGAGUGCGGUAGGGGAGAAGGGAAUUCCUGGUGUAGCGGUGGAAUGCGCAGAUAUCAGGAGGAACACCAAUGGCGAAGGCACUUCUCUGGGCCGUAACUGACGCUGAGGAGCGAAAGCGUGGGGAGCGAACAGGAUUAGAUACCCUGGUAGUCCAC